CGUCGCAGCCCGGGCUAUUGAUACGCCCGUGGAACGCCGUCUCCCCAAUUGUGAAAGGCAGCACGCGCAUCCGGCGUGCUUUGACAUCUGAGCGCUCAAGACGAUGGCCUGUAGUCUCCCAAUUCGACCCGUCUUGAAACACGGACCAAGGAGUCUGACAUGUGUGCAAGUCAACGGGCGAGUAAAACCGUAAGGCGCAAGGAAGCUGAUUUGGGUAUAGGGGCGAAAGACAAAUCGAACCGUCUAGUAGUUGGUUCCCUCCGAAGUUUCCCUCAGGAUAGCUAGAGCUCGCGUGCGAGUUCGAUAGGGUAAAGCCAAUAAUUAGAGGCCUCAGGGGCGCAAAGCCCUCGACCUAUUCUCAAACUUUAAAUAGGUAGGAUGGCGCGACUGCUUUGUUGAGCCGCGCCACAGAAUCAAGAGCUCAAAGUGGGCUAUUUUGGUAACCAGAACUGGCGAUGCGGGAUGAACCGGAAGCCGGGUUACGGUGCCAAGAUGCGUGUUUACCUAGAUCCCACACAGGGUGUUGGUAGAUUAAGACAGCAGGACGGUGGUCAUGGAAGUCGAAAUYCGCUAAGGAGUGUGUAACAACUCACCUGCCGAAUCAACUAGUCCCGAAAAUGGAUGGCACUUAAGUGCGCGACCUACACCCGUCCGUCGGGGCAAGUGCCAGGCCCCGAUGAGUAAUAGGGUGCGGCGGUCGCUGAAAAACCUUGGGCGCGAGCUUAGGCGGAGCGGCCGUCGACGCAGAUCUUGGUGGUAGUAGCAAAUAUUCAAAUGAGAACUUUGAAGGAUGAAGAGGGGAAAGGUUCCAUGUGAACAACACUUGCACAUGUGUUAGUCGAUCCUAAGGGUCGGGGGAACCGUGAAAAAUAGCGCCUUUCGCGCGUACUCCGGAAGGGAAUUGGGUUAAAAUUCCUUAACCCUGGACAUGGCGAUAAACGGCAACGUAAGAAAGUCCGUAGACGCUAGCAGGAGCCUCGGGAAGAGUUAUCUUUUCUGUUAAAUAGCCUGCCCACCCUGGAAUCGGCUCAGCCGGAGGUAGGGUCCAGCGGCUGGAAGAGCACGUCGCGUGGUGUCUGGUGCGCUUUCGGCGGCCCUUGAAAAUCCGGAGGACCGAAUGUCAUCCACACCCGGUCGUACUCAUAACCGCAUCAGGUUUCCAAGGUGAACAACCUCUGGUUGAUGGAACAAUGUAGGCAAGGGAAGACGGCCAAAAGGAUCCGUAACUUCGGGAAAAGGAUUGGUUCUGAGGGCUGUGCACGGGGGUUCUAGUCCCAAACCCGUCGGUUGUUAGUGGACUGCUUGUGCUGCUCCCGCAAAGAGAGCGGGUCGCCGCGUGCCGUCCGGUGGAUGGACUGGAAAUGGUUCCUUCGGGGGCCUUCCCUGGGCGUCGAACAACCAACUUAGAACUUGUACGGACAAGGGGAAUCCGACAGUUUAAUUAAAACAAAGAAUUGCGAUGGUUCAUACGGAUGUUUACGCAAUGUGAUUUCUGCCCAGUGCUCUGAAUGUCAAACUGAAGAAAUUCAACGAAGCACGGGUAAAUGGCGGGACUAACUAGGACUCUCUUAAGGUAGCCAAAUGCCUCGUCAUCUAAUUAGUGACGCGCAUCAAUGGAUUAACGAGAUUCCCACUVUCCCUGUCUACUAUCCAGCGAAACCACAACCAAGGGAACGACUUGGCAGAAUCAGCGGGGAAAGAAGACCCUAUUGAGCUUGACUCUAGUUCGACUUUGUGAAAUGACUUUAGAGGUGUAGUAUAAGUGGGAGCGGACAAACGAAAGUGAAGUACCACUACUUUUAAUGUUAUUUUACUUAUUUCAAGAAUGGGAAGCGGGGCACUGCCCUCUUAUUGGAGCCAAGGCUCGCUUCGCGGGCCGAUCYGGGCGGAAGACAUUGUCAGGUGGGGAGUUUGGCUGGGGAGGCACAUCUGUUAAAAGAUAACGCAGGUCUCCUAAGAUGAGAUCAACAAGAACAGAAAUCUCGUGUGGAACAGAAGGGUAAAAGCUCGUUUGAUUCUGAUUUCCAGUACGAAUAUGAAGCGUGAAAGCAUGGCCUAACGAUCCCUUAUUCCUUCGGAAUUCGAUGCUAGAGGUGUAAGUAAAGUUACCACAGGGAUAACUGGCUUGUGGCAGCCAAGCAUUCAUAGCGACGUUUCUUUUUGAUCCUUCGAUUUUGGCUCUUCCUAUCAUUGUGAAGCAGAAUUCACCAAGUGUUGGAUUGUUCACCCACCAAUAGGGAACGUGAGCUGGGUUUAGACCAUUGUUAGAUAGGUUAGUUUUACCCUACUGAUGACUGUGUCGCAAUAGUAAUUCAACCUAGUACGAGAGGAACCGUUGAUUCACAGAAUUGGCCAUUGCGCUUGGUUGAAAAGUUAGUGGCGCGAAGUUAACGUGUGCUGUAUUAUGACUGCACGCCUCUAAGUCAGAAUCCGGGCUAGAAGCGACGCAUGAGCCCGCCUUCCGCUUGCCGACCUGCAUUAGGGGCCUAUGGCCCCCAAGGCGGGUUUCGUUGGCUAUGUCGCCGCGACGGAAAUGUCGCGGUGACCGCCUAGAAGUACAAUUUCUAUCGAGCAGCGGGUAGAAUCCUUUGCAGACGACUUAAAUAAGCGACGGGGUACUUUAAGUGGCAGAGUGUCCUUACAGCCACGAUCCAUUGAGAUUCAGGCCUUUGUCGCUUCGAUUUGU
rnacentral:rRNA from 1 species